ACGACCGGAAAAGCUUUUGUCCCUGGUGGAACGAUCUCCUCAGGUGCCGGAACACUAGCUUCUCCGGGAUGACUCAGUGACUCAGGCAAGGGACAAACCUGGCGCGCCGUGCAAUUGUGGGUCUUGCUCGUCAUUAUCGUCAUCUUCUAUUUCGACAUCAUGAUUGGGCUCAUGACCCUGACCAUGUUUGCAUGAGGAGGGUUUAAUAGAGACAGGAGAAAGAGCGAUGACAUGUGGCCGAACCAUCUCCCUCUGGCUUGUAACUCUCUACUUCUGUAGGAUACUGACACGUUCGAUGUGUCCGUUUGGUCCUGCCACGUCUCAGAGCUUUGUUUUAUACGUGGCUAUGUUGCCAAAUAAAUCAUUAUCCUAAACCUAAAGAAGCCUGUCGACGUAACUUGUAUUAAAA